UUGUGCUGGACGCUCAAGUAAGGAAAUGGCCAAUAUUGGUUACAGAUACUACCCAGGCCUAACCUGCGGAGUUAUGUGGGCUUUUAGCACUUAAAGGCAAAAUACUUAAAGCUUAUUACUGAACAUAUCUUAUCCCCCUUCCUUCUCAGUUUUUCAUCUUUCUUAGCAGCGCAGUGUAGUGGUAAUCUUCAGGAGUCAGGAAAAAAUCUGCAAAGAUAACUUUAUCAAAGAAAAAUGUCUUUGGAAUUACAUCCUUAACUGAAACUUUCUUUGAAAACCAGGGUGUCUCCAGAGAGUUAUGCAGAGCAGUCUGGUUAAGCUGUGUCUACGGCACGGUUUUAAGGAAGAACGCUGGAGUCAGCAACUCAGAAACUGGGACCCAAGGAUCUGAUGUUGUCUCUCUUGAAAACUCUGUGCUAUCAGACUUGUGCAUUUUCACAGAUAAACCUGCCAGGUGAUGCAUAUAAUGACCGCACUGAAAAUAGGCACAGAAUAGCAGAGCUUGAGUUGUCCCAAAUGUUGUCCCACAAAAGUCAAGACAGGCACAGAGGCUUAUCAGCAAAAGCACAUCAGAACUGUAUGAAGAGAGACAUAUGCAUCAAAUGAAUGCUGUUUUUCAAGGUACAUUCUUGAAUUCUUGACAAGACACAGAGUUACUUAUUUCUCCUCCAGUUGUUGUUGGCUUUGAUUAUUAAACUUUGAUUCUGAGAGAAAAGAGAAAAUGUUGUCAGCAUCCCUGACAGGCUGUAACUUUACAGUUGGUGAGUUCAGCUGCCAGCUAGUUGUCAUCCUUUAUUUCUGAAGAUUGCAGUUCUUUAAUGAGGAAAUGUCUGGUUACCAUAGAGAAGUUUUAGGUGAGGAGAGAGGAAAAGGGUUCAUAGUUUUUUUUUUCUCUCCUUUUCUCUCCUGUCUACAAAUAUAUAUUGGAGAAAAAAAGAAAAAAAAUGGCCAAAAUGGGUCAUGGGGGCACAAUAGCAAUAGUGUUGUGAAUCUCCUUUAAGACUGUUAAAAGUUUUCAAGAUGUAGGAGUUUUUCAAAUUAGAAAGCGUUGAGACUAAAGAAUGGAAGGUCUUCUCGUAAACAAAAGAAGUCCUUCUGCAUUUUAUGACAGAUGAAUUGAAAAGUGACCAGACAGGAAUUGCAAGCAAGUAGUGCCAGAAGGUUUCCUAAACAAGAAAUUUACUGAGUAAUACCAAAUGGUAUAAAAAGUGCUACACAAACUCAGUAGAAAGUCUUUGGAUGACUAUAGUAAUAAUAUGUUUGGCUACAGAUGCAGCAUUUCACCGUUCCUUCAAGUUAACUGUGUUGCACAGUUAACUGGAGCUUUAUGAUCACUGAAAAAAACCUCCCAUUUACUAUCGAAAAACAAGCAUGCUUUGCCUAUUCUACUGCAAGACUAUAUUUGAAACAAGACAUUGCAGUUUCAGGGCGAUGCAGUUCCAGUGGGAAUUAAGAAUGUAAGGCCAAACAUGGGCAAAAUCAUCACCACUUGUUCCAGUAAUGCUUUGCCUUUGACUGAAACCCAUAGAUAAAAAUCUGUGUACUUAAGGACUGUAGGCAUUAUCUCUUUCUUUGUUCAUUGUUCAGAAAAUGAAAAUUAGCACCUUGGCUUAAACAAUGCCUCAGGGUCUGUACUCUACUUGUGUUUCCUCAACUGAUACUGUAACCAUGUGUUGUUAGGAAGAGUAUUAAGAUGAAAAUUCCCACUGAACCCAAGAUAAGUCAGGGGUGAAGUCAUGUUUGUCUCCUUUGUUGUUUUUUUGAUAAUAAAAUGUUGGUGUAUUAUUGUAUUUUAUACUUU
ensembl:lncRNA